rnacentral:rRNA from 3 species
AACAGGAUUAGAUACCCUGGUAGUCCACGCCGUAAACGAUGUCGACUUGGAGGUUGUUCCCUUGAGGAGUGGCUUCCGGAGCUAACGCGUUAAGUCGACCGCCUGGGGAGUACGGCCGCAAGGUUAAAACUCAAAUGAAUUGACGGGGGCCCGCACAAGCGGUGGAGCAUGUGGUUUAAUUCGAUGCAACGCGAAGAACCUUACCUACUCUUGACAUCCAGAGAACUUAGCAGAGAUGCUUUGGUGCCUUCGGGAACUCUGAGACAGGUGCUGCAUGGCUGUCGUCAGCUCGUGUUGUGAAAUGUUGGGUUAAGUCCCGCAACGAGCGCAACCCUUAUCCUUUGUUGCCAGCGAUUCGGUCGGGAACUCAAAGGAGACUGCCGGUGAUAAACCGGAGGAAGGUGGGGAUGACGUCAAGUCAUCAUGGCCCUUACGAGUAGGGCUACACACGUGCUACAAUGGCGCAUACAAAGAGAAGCGACCUCGCGAGAGCAAGCGGACCUCAUAAAGUGCGUCGUAGUCCGGAUCGGAGUCUGCAACUCGACUCCGUGAAGUCGGAAUCGCUAGUAAUCGUGGAUCAGAAUGCCACGGUGAAUACGUUCCCGGGCCUUGUACACACCGCCCGUCACACCAUGGGAGUGGGUUGCAAAAGAAGUAGGUAGCUUAACCUUCGGGAGGGCGCUUACCACUUUGUGAUUCAUGACUGGGGUGAAGUCGUAACAAGGUAACC